AUUGGUUCCCCAUCGGGAAUGAGCCAUAGCUAGGGCAAGGGUUUGAUCCAGGGAUGGGACGUAAGCAAGGCCGAAGGAACAACAAUCCCUUUACCUACAUGGAGGGCUGAAUGAGGGUUCAUGCACGGAUGUGGGUCACGUGUAGGGUUAGCGUUAGACUUAGGGUGAGGUUCCGAUUGAGGAGUAUGGAGUGGGUCAUGAUUAGGGUGAGGGAUAGCUCCAAGGAGUCCCCAGGUGAUGAACCCCAUGCAGUGCAGUGGUCUCCUGGGAGGGCUCAGUGGAGGGCACACGGGAGGGUGCUGGUCAGGUUUAGUCUUUGGUUACCAGUGCCAGCCUUGCAUGUGGGCCACUUUCGGGCCUCAGCAAGCACUUUGGCACCUCCCUCUGGUAUUUGGACAUGACAUGGUGGUGGUCCACGCUCCAUGUGGAGUAAUCCUGCACCGCUUCUGGGCCACAGGUGCGUGAUAUUCUCUGCAUUAGGAAUUGGAUCCCCAUCGGGAUAGAGAAAUAGCUAGGGUUAGAGCUAGAUCCAGGGACAUAAGCAAGGCCAAAGCAACAACAAUCCAUUUAUCUCCAGUGAGUAUGAAUGAGGGCCAUGUGCGGUAGCUGGUCAGGUGUAGGGUUAGUGUUAGAAUUGGGGUGAGGUUUAGGUUGAGGAAUACGGCGAGGAUCAUGGUGAGGGUUAGGGGUAGGUUCCAGGAGGCGCUUAAGUGCAGAAACCUAAGUAGUGCAGUGGUCUCCUAGAGGGUUGAGUGGAGGGUGCAAAGGAUGGUGCCAUUCCUUCUUAGUCUUAGGGUGUCAAGGCCACCCUUUGGUGUAGGACACUCCUUAGUUGGGCCUCAGCAGAGCCCUUGUUCAGCUCCCUCUGAGCUUUGGAAAUGACAUGCUGAUGUUCCAGGUUCCAAGCCGAGUGAUUUACACCAUGAGCCUGCUGUUGUCAGUCAUUGGAAUUGGGUUCCCAUGAGGAGGGAGAUAUAGCUAGGGUUAGGGUUCAGUGCAGGGACAUCACCAGGGCAGACUGACUCCAGUCUCGUGAAUUUCAUGGAGGGCUUAAGUGAGAAAUCUUGCGAGGGUACGGGUCUGGUAUAGAGUUAGUGUGAGAGAUAGGUUUAGGUUUAGGUUGAGGGCUAGGUUCAGGGUUCUGGUUAGGGUUGGGGUUAGGUCCCAGGAGGCUCCAGAUGCUGAACCCGCAGCAGUGCAGUGGUCUCCCUGAAGUGCUGACUGGAGUACACAAUGGAUGCUGCGGGUCAGGAUUAGUCUUUCGGUUGCCAGGCCAGACAACUCUUUCUGGCACUCUUCGGGUAAGCCUCAGGAAUGCUCUCGGGCACAACGGAGGCUGCCGGACAGGAUUAGUCUUUGGGUUCCAAGGCUAGACAAGUGUAUUGGACACUCUUUGGGGGAGACCUCAGGAAUCCUCUUAUGCAGCAGCAGCCGGGCUUUGGAAAUGACAUGGUGAUGUUCCACGUUCCACGCCGAGUGAUCCUGCACUGCUUCUCGACCCCAUGUGCAUUCUGUUGUCAGACAUUGGGAUUGGGUACCCAUGGAGAGUGAGUUUUAGCUAGGGUUAGGAUUCAGUGCAGGGAUGUGGCCAGGGCCAAAGGACUCCAGUCUCGUGAUCUCCCUCGAGGGCUGAAGUGAGGGCACAUGCGCUGGUGUGGGUCUGGUGUAGAGGUAUUGUGAGAUAUAUGGUCAGGUGAGAUUGAGGGUUAUCAUCAGGGUUAUGGUUGGGGUUAGGGUAGGUCAGAGAAGGAUCCAGGCGCUGUACCCACAGCAGUGCAAUUGUCUCCCCGAAGGGCUGAGUCAGUACACAAUGGAGGCUGCUCGUCAGAAUUAGUCUCUGGGUUCCAAGGACGGACAACUCUAUAAGGUCUGGUGUAGAUAGGUGGGUCUAGUGUGAUAGAAACUGUUAGAUUUAGGUUGAGGGUUAUGGUUAGGGUUACGGUUAGGUUUAGAGUUAGGUCCCAGGAGUCUCCAGGCAUUGAACCCACAGCAGUGCAGUCGUCUCCUGGAAAUGUUGAGCGGAGUGCACAAUGGAGGCUGCCAGUCAGGAAUAGUCUUCGGUUUCCAAGGCCAGACAACUGUAUUGGGCACUCUUCAGUUAGGCCUGUUGAAUCCUCGAGUGCAGUGGCAGCCGGGCUUUUGAAAUGACAUGAUGAUGUUCCACAUUCCACACCAAGUAUUCCUGCACUGCUUCUCAAUUCCAUGUGUGUGCUGAUGUCAGACUGUGAAUUGGGUCCCCAUGGGGAAGGAGCCUCAGCCAGGGUUAGGGCUUGGUGCAGGGAAGUCACCAGGGCCGAAGCAACUCCAGUCUAGUGAUGUCCCCCAAGGGCUGACCUGAGAUCCCAUGCGAGGGUGCGUCUCAAGUGUAGGGUUAGGGUUAGAAACAGGGUUACGAUUAGGUUGAGAGUUAUGGUUAGGGGUACAGUUAGGGUUUUCUUCGUUCCCAAGGCUCCAAGCGCUGAACCCACAGCAGUGCAGUUGCCUCCACAAAUGACUGAGUGGUAUGCACAACAAGGCUGCGGGUCAGGAUUAAUCUUUGGGUUCUAAGGACAGACAACUGUAUCUGGUCUGGUGUAGAUAGGUGUGUCUAGUGUGAGUGAUAGGGUUAGGUUUAGGUUGAGGGUUAGCAUUGGGUCCUGGUUAGCAUUAGUGUUAGGUCCCAGGAUGUUCCAGGCACUGAAACCAUAGCAGAGCAGUUGUCUCCCCAAAGGGCAGAAGGGAGUACACAAGGGAGGGUGCUGGUCAGGAUUAGUCUUUUGGUUCCAAGGCCAGACAACUGUAUGGGCCACCCAUCGUUUAGGCCUCAGGAAUCCUCUUGUGCAGCUGCAGCCACGCUUUGGAAAUACAUGGAGAUGUCCACAUUCAAUGCUGAGUGUUCCUGAACCGUUUCUGGUCCUGGUGUGUGUGCUGUUAUUAGUCUUUCGAUAUGGAUCCCCAUGGGAAGAGGGCCUUAGGUUAUAGUUUUAGAUUUAGCGGGUAGAGUUAGAGCGUUAGGAUGAGGGUUUUAGGGUUAGAAUUAGAGGCUUAGGGUUAGAGGUUUAGGGUAAGGUUAGGAUUAGUUCGGGUUAUGUUUAUGUUUACGGUUAGUUAGAGGUAGGGCUAGGGUUAGGGGAAGGGUAGGGGCAGGAUUUAGCAUUAGGGUUAUGGUUAGGGUUAGGUGUUAGGUUUAGGUGGUGGGAUUUUGUUUAGUGAUAGGGUUAGGAGUUGGGCAAGGAGUAGGUCAUGCUUGCAUCCCCACUUUGAGCGGGAAGGUGUUCAUGCGUGGACACCGCCCUCCAUGUUCAAGGGAUUGUGUUCUUGCUAUCGCCCCAGUCUCUCUACUGUAGGUUGUUCUUGCCUCGCCCAUUCCAGCUUUGCUCUGGAGUUUUUCACACCGUCACCCCACCCCCUCUCGGUAUGAUAAUAUUUCACGUUCCACCCAAUCGCUUUUGGUGCAAGGGGUGUGUUCACACAUGCGACCCUCCACACCCUCUACGUGCGAUGGUGUCACCCAUGAGCCUCACAGCUCCUUAGAUUGGGAUUACUGAUGCCAGGAUUAAAUCUGAUACUGAUGCCAGUAUUAAAUCAUGAAUAUCUAUUUUCACUUUCACAACUGAAGAAGUAGGCGUUUCUUAAGGUAAGGUUUAUGGUUAGGAUUAAUGUUAGGUGUCCGUUAAGGUUUAGGGCAUGGUGCACCCCCCUUGGUGUGGGAUGGCUUCACGAAUGUGUCCCAUCUGCUUCCCUUUAUCUGCGAUGUAGCAGUGAUAUUCCUUUUAAUUCAGAUGUUUUCCUUGGCACCUGGAUGUCUCUGAGUUAAGCGUCCCACUUCGUCUUGGUUCAUGAUCUCUCAGUUUCUGGUUUUGAGCCCCCUGGGUAGCUUCUGUGCUGAUAGCUGGGAAUCUGGAGCCUGCUUCAGAUACUAUCUGUCUCUCUCUCUCUCUCUGCCCAUGCCCCACUUGUGUUCUUUGUGCCUUUCAAAAAUUAAUGUACCUAAAAGCAUUUUCAAUCCGAUAUUUCCUGGAUGGCUCUUUUCACUUUCAUUGCUGAAGAAGCAGGCGUCUGUCUCGUUCAUUGUUCUUUUGUUAUCUUUGGCAUAGCUGACAACAUAUACGACAUUUCCCCAGCCAGCAUCGGGGAUGCGCAGCAUUUCUUCUACCAGCCGGACACCUCUCAUCCACUGUAACACUGCAUUCCUCUAGAGCAUCCCACAUGCUCUCGGAAACUGGACUGUAACUGUGGAUGGUAGCAGUGUCCCAUAGUCUUCUGAUGGUAUUUCAGGAGGUUCUUCAUUCGCAUCUUUGGUUACCUGAGUGUCUUCUGACAUCUCUCAUGUUUCCACUAGGCCGCUGCUAUGAUGCUCAACAGGGAACCUGAAGCACACUGGGAUUCAGGAGCAGACCAACUACCACUUGGCUCCCACAAAUGGUCGCCUUGGAACUCUUUAUGGAAGAGGAGAAAACACCCACCACCACCGUUUCAUAACCCUGCACCGAAUGUGGAGACAACAAUCACCCACCCCCAAAGGAAACUCUAGCAGGGUACAUGUAUCAAACCUAAGGUGUUGGUUAUGUAUUUUGGAUCAAUAAGUGAGGUUGUACUUUUGACUGGUAAGUGUACAUCUAAAUCCCUCAGAGGGGAUAUUCUCUGAGGUCACCCCAACCUAAAUUGUUGGCCCAUGGGGAGAUGUGUUGUCCCUACUGAUUGUAUUGAUGUUGUCUCUGUAGGCCAGUGAAUUAAAGCUCCAUAGGGUCUUGUCCUGUUCUUGCCUCUUCACGGGAAGGUCCAUUUCACCUAUUGAAAAAGACAGCAAGGGAGUAGUGUUGGCACUAUUAAAUCUGACGUUUCAUGAAUGAGUCUUUUCACUUUCAUGGCUGAAGAAGCAGCAUCUCUUAUGAUGAGGGUUAGGGUUUGGAUUAUCCUGAGGAUUAGGCUGAAGAAGCAGGCAUUUCUUAAGCUGAAGAAGCAUGCAUCUCUUAAGGUCAGGGGUAGGGUUAGCAUUACAGUUAGGGGUUAAGAUAAGAGCUAGGUCAUGCUUGCUCUCCCCACUCAGCACGGGAAGACUUCACGCAUCACCCCACUAUCCUGAGCAAGGGAGAGUGUUCACCUUUUCACCCCAAUCCCUGAGAGUGGUAAAAUAUUGAAGCACGUGCUCCACUCCACUUCCUUUGGGGAGGGCUUUCACACAUGCGUAGAUCCCCCCUUCAGGACAGAUUGUUCACAUAUGUGCAUGACCACCUGUCGGGUCGGGAGGGUGUUCACUCAUGGGCACACCCCACCUCUGCAUGGGAGAUGGUUCAUGCAUGUGUCUUGCUCACCUCUGCAGGGAGGGUUUUUACGCAUGUGCACAGCCCCACCUUGGUGUGGGAGGAGGUCACCCAUGCAGAGCGCCACCCUUCAAUGAGGGAAUAGUGAUGCCAUUAUUAAAUGUGAUGUUUCAUGAAUGGUUCUUUUCAAUUUCACAGCUGAAGUAGCAGACAACUCUUAAGCUGAAGAAGCAUGCAUCACUUAAGCUGAAGAAACGCGGCCAGGGAGGGCGUUGACGUAUGCUCCCCGCUCCCCUCGCCAGGAUGCUGUUCACGCAUGUGCAAAGUCCCCCCUCCUUGCCAAAGGGGGUUCAAGCAUGCCCACAACCCCCGCUCUCUGAAGAAACACACAUCUCUUAAGGCUUGCAUCUUCCCUCUACCUCUAUACUCCAAGUUCCUGGCUGGCACUGGAAUUACAUCUUUAGCACGGACAUCAUAACCUCCAGGUGAGAUUCAGGCUUGUUUCCGGGAAGAAACCCUGACAGAAAUUCAGAAGAACAGGAGCUGCAUUCCGUUAGGACAUGAAUACAUGAAAUACUCGUCUUGGGAACUCCUAGAAGAAUGAGCUGGGACCCACUUUCCGAGUCCUGCUAGAACCAGUGACCGAGAAAAUAAAAACGCCCUGGAAGACAAGUGUAAUGCAUUGAGGUCUGUGAAAGCCACAAAGGAAGCAAAAGUCAAACAGCUGAAAGAGAAAGCACAUAACCUGGAAGAAUUCUAUGAUCAAAGAAAAAGUGCCUACAAAAAAGAAGCUUUAAAUGACACUGUGAGCUGGAGGCAAAGAAGAAUCAGCUAGCAGCUGCAGAUCUCAAGUAGUGACCAGACUGUGUGGAAACUUUGUCCAUGCUAACAUUCCUCGGGGGUGGUGUCAAUUGUCGUCAUCUGUAGGAAAGCAGUGUGUCGUACAAUGAAUCAUACCCAUCAACGUGGUAGUGCCAUUUCAUGGCCCUCGUCUUUGCAACCCUGGGAAACAUGGCAACAAAUUGAACAAACACGGGAACAGCUGCAGCAGGCAGAGCUCACCUUUAGAUACCAGUUCAUGAGAAGAAUGCUCAGGACAACUAGGGAUGACGCCUGCACUGUUAGUUGUCUAGUAGACGACGUGGUGUUGCAACUCUUAUAGAAGUCCAUUAUUUUUCUGUAUCCAAGACUGGAUGGGAUGGAACCAAAGAGGCUGCCUGAGGGAUACACGAGGCAGAAACCAAUCACUGCAAGAACCCUCCAAGGAGAGGGCAGUCUGGAUCCUGGGGACCUCCUCCGUUAACUGGACGAUUCUGCAUGCCCUACCCUGGAGACACCCUGCCCCCAUGGACUAUUAGGCACAUACACACCUGAACCUUGGCAGCCCUGGGGCCACCCGGAACCCCUCCACCUGCAACACUUGGCUAUUUUGUAUGCAAGAGGGCCUGGUCCUUUCCCAGGAUUGCCUUGCAGGCUGUACCCCGCGGACCACCCUUCACCAGCAGUCAUGGGCUAUAGGCCACAUCCCCCUCCUCCACCUACUCUAUUUUUUAAGAUGACCUGAACCGGCUGAGUGACUGGACAACUCUUUUGAAAUUUGAAGAGGACUAUGCAUGGUGACAGACUAUCAUGUUUGUAUAUACAUUUUAAGAAAGUGUCAGAUCUACCUGAAUGCUUUCCAUGCCCAUCCUGUCCCCUCCACUUUGUCCUUCCUACUGUCCCCUAAUCUACCUUUCAUCGUUUUGUCUCUGUGUCAGCGUCUGCUUCUAGGGCCAUCUACUCUCGCUCCCCAUUGAGUGCACACACUGGGGUUCCUGUACACACAGGAAACAAAGUGCCAGAAAUGGUGGUGAGGGAGGAUAGAAGCAAGAUCACCCUUUGUGCAGGGGAGCCCGAGGGAGUUUUCCGGGGUGAUGGGAACUACAUAUAUCUAGAUUGAUGGCGUGCUUAUGCUCAAUGAUUUUGGAAAUAUUCCCUGACUCCAUGGUGCCUUGGGAUCAGACACGUAUCUGUCCUUAGGAAAUGGCUGAGAUCUAGUGGUGGAGAAGGAUGAGGGACCAGCAGUGACUGUAGAGAGGAGUGAGGGUCAGACCCACGCCCAGGAUGCCAGGUCCCCACAGACAGCACCACGUGUAGAAGGACUCUGAGGAGCAGAGAUUUCUUGAUCAGACCCAUGGACUACAUAAUCCUCCUGUAGUUUCCUCACUGAGCAAUGGCUAGAGCAGAGGCCAGCAGCUGGAGGACACCCUGAUCAUGGCUGGAGUGGAGCAGUGGGCCUGGGGGAUUGAGUCAGGGAAAGGGCCAGGCAGAAGGUAGUGACAGGGAGUUUGAGAGACAAACGGAAGAGAAGAGAAGGGACCCUUCUCUGCUGACUUCACCUACAUUUCUCUGUGACCAAAACGAGACCCUUGUCUCCCAGGGAAGGGAAGAGGGCUGACAAAACACCGAGUGACAUACUCAGCUCAAGUGUCCAUGGUAUCUGCCUUGCUCUUGAGUACCUAACACAGGAAGCACGUGUUUUCUGUCAUGAUUGGAACUGCAGCUCGUACCAUUUAGUGAAAAUCAAUCCAAUUAUGCAUCCCUCAG